CGAAGUGAGUGGCGGACGGGUGAGUAACACGUGGGUAACCUGCCCAGAAGCAGGGGAUAACACCUGGAAACAGAUGCUAAUACCGUAUAACAGAGAAAACCGCCUGGUUUUCUUUUAAAAGAUGGCUCUGCUAUCACUUCUGGAUGGACCCGCGGCGCAUUAGCUAGUUGGUGAGGUAACGGCUCACCAAGGCGAUGAUGCGUAGCCGACCUGAGAGGGUAAUCGGCCACAUUGGGACUGAGACACGGCCCAGACUCCUACGGGAGGCAGCAGUAGGGAAUCUUCCACAAUGGACGCAAGUCUGAUGGAGCAACGCCGCGUGAGUGAAGAAGGGUUUCGGCUCGUAAAGCUCUGUUGUUAAAGAAGAACGUGGGUGAGAGUAACUGUUCACCCAGUGACGGUAUUUAACCAGAAAGCCACGGCUAACUACGUGCCAGCAGCCGCGGUAAUACGUAGGUGGCAAGCGUUAUCCGGAUUUAUUGGGCGUAAAGCGAGCGCAGGCGGUCUUUUAAGUCUAAUGUGAAAGCCUUCGGCUCAACCGAAGAAGUGCAUUGGAAACUGGGAGACUUGAGUGCAGAAGAGGACAGUGGAACUCCAUGUGUAGCGGUGAAAUGCGUAGAUAUAUGGAAGAACACCAGUGGCGAAGGCGGCUGUCUGGUCUGUAACUGACGCUGAGGCUCGAAAGCAUGGGUAGCGAACAGGAUUAGAUACCCUGGUAGUCCAUGCCGUAAACGAUGAUUACUAAGUGUUGGAGGGUUUCCGCCCUUCAGUGCUGCAGCUAACGCAUUAAGUAAUCCGCCUGGGGAGUACGACCGCAAGGUUGAAACUCAAAAGAAUUGACGGGGGCCCGCACAAGCGGUGGAGCAUGUGGUUUAAUUCGAAGCUACGCGAAGAACCUUACCAGGUCUUGACAUCUUCUGCCAACCUAAGAGAUUAGGCGUUCCCUUCGGGGACAGAAUGACAGGUGGUGCAUGGUUGUCGUCAGCUCGUGUCGUGAGAUGUUGGGUUAAGUCCCGCAACGAGCGCAACCCUUAUUACUAGUUGCCAGCAUUCAGUUGGGCACUCUAGUGAGACUGCCGGUGACAAACCGGAGGAAGGUGGGGACGACGUCAAAUCAUCAUGCCCCUUAUGACCUGGGCUACACACGUGCUACAAUGGAUGGUACAACGAGUCGCGAAACCGCGAGGUUUAGCUAAUCUCUUAAAACCAUUCU
rnacentral:rRNA from 1 species